GCAGGCUCCAGGCUCUGAGCUGUCAGCACAGAGCCCGACAUGGGGCUCGAACUCACAGAGUGCAAGAUCAUGACCUGAGCCGAAGUCAGCGGCUUAACUGACUGAGCCACCCAGGCACCCCUCCCACCUAAAAUCUUUUUAGUGUAUUCCCAGUUCAACUUCCCCUCAACCAAGUAUCAAAAAUGCUCUGAGCUGUUGUAAUGUCACUCAACAUGAGCUGAAGUUUUCUGAAGGGUGUGUCAGGGAGGAAAUAGACAGUGAGUGGUCUCAACUCAUUCCUGUUUACAUACAUUAGUUUUGCAAAUUUUAUAAAGACAUAUAAUCAUGUGAACACACUGCUAGGGCUCUUUCCAGACCUUUUGAAGACACCUGUGCAAAUGAAGGGGUCUUGAUGCUUAAAGUCCAUUAGCUUCAGAGUAAGUUGGUGAGAAGAGACAGGAGCAGGAGAGUGUGUCCCCAAAAAUGUGGGAAAUAAAGAGGAAUGUCCCCUGUCAUGUGCACUGUCAACACUAGUUUCUUGGAGUUUCCUUCCUGUUUUCUUUUCCUGUCAGGGCAAGAAAAACCUGCAGUGAGAGGCUGUCCACACAAGAGCAGUGACUCUCAGAUAUUACCACAGCAGCAAAGGUGAAAACCAACAGAUUUGGAGUACACUUUCAUCAAACCUGAGGCCUGGAGGAACAGCAGGUGCCUGCAUGUUGUCUGUGGAUUCUUCAGCAGAAAAGACAUCUGUUCAUUGCCCAAGAUUUUGCUGACUGUCAUCCAAAGCAAUCCCAUUAUGAACAGGUCAUCCAAUUUUUAAUGGCUGGGACAUUUUGUGAACACUGAAAACAGCAAAACCACAUACCACUUUCCCAAUGGCCCUCUCUAACAUAGUACCAAACACUUUGAUCUCCAUCUUCUUAUCAAGGAAGAGCUGGAAUUUGCCUUCAUCUUGGACACUCCUGAAGGCUGAUAAAGAGUGCAUGGAGCUUUGUAAAGAAAAGAGAACCAGGAAGAAAUCGUUGGCUGAAGGGAAUCUCUCUUGGAAUUGAACUGUGCUGCCUUGGGACAUGAGUGAUACAGAUAAACAUUCCAAAGUGCCCAGAUGGCAAUCAAAGAAUAUAGGUCAAUUGCUACACAUGUCCACUGGCAAGAAUAUGACCCUAUUGGGGACCAGGAGCUCAAACUGUACAGAAUGCAGAGUUGUGGGAAGACCAGCAGGCUGGAGACUCAGAGAAAAGUUGAUGGUGCAGUGUUGAGUCCAAAGACUGUCUAUAGGAAGAAUUCUAUAAACACUGAAGAAGACAUCAGCGUUUUCUCUUGAUGCCUUCUGCUGAAUGGAUGAGGCCCAUCAACAUUAAGGAAGGGACACUUAGGUAUCAAAGGCAUUGCAGAAAGCACUGUACUUCACUAUCUCAAUGUAUCUUAAGACUUCAAAGAUACAAGGUUUCCCUCCAUCAAGGUUAAGUACAUCUCGAAGUCUCCAUGUUCAGUGCUGUCUAGGUCAAGCAUAAUGAUUCUGAUGAAAAGUGAAGGAUUCUACUGUAUGUAAUUGGACUUUGACAGAACAGGUUUGCAUAAAGAGAAGGUUAUUAUUGAAACUUGGCCAUGACAAAGAAACUGGUACAGCUUACUUUUGUCAUCUAGUCUUAAAUUCAUCAACCUUGGUUUAAGAACGGUUUUGAUACCACAGUGAAGAAGAAAAGAUUUCUAGUUUGAGGUCAUUAGACAUGAGCCGCUUGAACGAAAGAAAAAUGAGUCGUCUAAAAUGGCUACAGCGGAGGAUAUUGUUUGUAUCAGCAUGGAACAGAAUGAGCCGCCUCAGAAAACUACAAGAAUCCCAAUUAGACAAAUUUUUCCUCUGGAUGGAAACUGGUAACAAAGAUAAAGGAGUCCAAUAACGAACUCUUUAUUUUUCUUUCUCUUGACACACCCCCUCUUUUGUAUCAGGCACUAAAAAACAUGCCUGCCCUAAAAUCUUGAAUAUUGAGCAUUUUGAUGCUUCCUCCCUUUUUUCUAAGAAUUUAACAUUUCCCACAAUUUUGUAGCACUGAUAACUAUCACUCCUGUCCCCUGAUAAUCUCAGUUCCAUGCAACUUGUAAAAGGCAGUCUGACCCUGAGACUUCAUAGUGGGUGGCAGAUGGCUUUCAUGAAUGCCUAUUUCUGCUAUUAAAAUAAAAUGACAGGAAACACCACAGAGAAGUUUCUUUUAUUUGAAAAAAAAAUGAGGGUUGUCAUAUGAUGUGAAAUACAAAUCUAAGGGCUUUGGCAGUCACUAACCUCACGUAGCAUGGUUAUCACUGGAAGGUAAAUGUAACAUCUACCUUCAGGUCUCCGUGAAAGAUGCAUUGUGCGAAAGGCAAGACAGUGCUUUCUGGCCCAAUACUUACACGUGUAGCAAUUUAUUAUAUGAAAAUGCAGAGUGCAACUCAGACAACUUGUGAGCACUUAUUGAAGUUGCCAGGCAAAAAUAUUUUCCUCCAUGCUACAUUAGCAUUUUCUGGUUUAGACCAGCUGAUCUUUUUGAAUUGGGCUGCAUGAAUCAUCACAUCCAGUAUGUAAAUUUCAUACGUAUAUUUAAAUAUUUUUCCUUUCAAAUUGGAACCAGAAUUCAUAUUAUAGCCAAUAUAGUCUGGAAAAAAAAAUAAAAAGUCAGGUUGCUGUCCUUUGUUCCCUCCACACAUCUAAAAAUUCUAAGAGCCUACAAGCUUAAUGUGGAGAGCAUCAGGGAUGUUUUCAAUAGUCAAGAGUGUCACUCAUUCUACUUUUUCAAAGUUCUUAGUUCCCAUUAAUAAUUUUAUAUACCAUAAUCAUUCACCUUGAACAUUUGCUAAUACGUUUAAAAUGCCAUCCUCUACUUAAUUGUUUCCAACAAGCGCUUUUAUUGAACAUCCACCAGGCAAAAAUGUACCAUUUCGAGUGUUCUGGAACCUCCUGCUUUCGUUUAUUAAUAACUCCCAAACAGAAUGUCUGCUUUAGACAUUAGUUUCCGAAAUAGAAUCGAAUCUUAAUUAGUUCAAGAGAAACUCUACUUAAGUAGUCUUAGAGAAAAUGCGCUAAUUUCCCCUCUAAUAUAUCCUCCUGUUGUUUGACUGUGAUGAGAAUGGUCUUUUAAAAGAGGCCUCAGGUGUGAAACCAACUGUUCAGGCUCAUUGUCAGCUGCUGGUUUCUAGAGUAUUAAUUCAAAAUUAGUGAAAAUAUAAGACUAUGUCUACAUUGGCCAACUCUAUUGCAAAAUUGAGCAAUUUUCAGUCAAGGGUGCAGCAUCCUCUACAAUGCCCUUGAGGAAGAUUCAGAAGCUCAUUCUAUUUCCAUCUGCUUCCAUCAUUAGAGAAUGCAGUUGAUUGAUUCAACCUCACUAACAAUAAGAACGGAUGCUGUUUAACUAAAAGGUGCCAUUCUAGAAUUUCAUGGAUUCACCUGUUGUCCCCUAGUAGGUCUAUGAUAAUCUGAGAAAGCAGCUAGACCAGACCCUUGCAAGAGGGUUUGUGUCCUACAUGUUGAAGACUGAAGAGGACUCUGUUAAGAAUGCCAGCUCCCAAGUAAAAUAUGGGCAAAAUUGGUUGGAGUUGAAGUCUUCCGUGUAAAGAGGUGCUGCACCACACAGAUCCUCAGACCAAGCUACCUUCAUCAAUUAUGCAACCUGUAACUCUGCCUCAAAUAAAAUCAACAGGAAUUUCUUUUAGGCUUUAUAAUAACUGAAAACAAAGCUUAAACUUAGCCUUGGAUGAUGAAACUAUUUUUUUUCUAAAAGCUUCUUUGUGGCCACACACACACACAAUUAUAAAAAAUGGAAGAAAAAGUUGUUUUAUAUUUCUGCUUACACAGAAAUCAUAUUAUUGUACAGAGUAAAACAGUAAACUUAACUUUGGGGCUCAAUUGAGACUUGUUUAAUUGUUCAGAAUACAGAUAUUCAAGAAUAUUACAGAAAGUUUCAUUAUAAUUUACUAAUCAAAAUACUAUUUUUUGGUCAUUUUUGUUUGUUUGUUUGUUUGUUUUGGCCAAAUGCAAAAUGGCCAUUAUUCUAGUACAAAAGGAAAUGUUUGGGGGAGUUUACUGAACACAAAAAAAUCAAGUGAUUACUAGAGUUAUUUGAGCUUAUAGCUGUCCUUCAGUUGAGAUUUCCAGAAAUAUCUGCCAUAAAUUUUAUUCUGCAUUUUAGAUUAAGAAGGCAGUGUUUAUUUCUGAUAGGGUCAAUGUAUUCGCAGAAAAGGAAAGAAAAUCUCUAUAUAACACUUAGGUCAAGUUUGCUAUUUUGAGCAAUAAAUGUCGAUGUUAUAAUAACAUAAUUUUUCUCCAUAAUACUAACCUUUUGAGAAAAGAAAAGCCUUCUUGUUGUUAAGCUGAUCAGUUCUGUCUGGGUAAACAGGACUUAAUCAUGUAGCAAUUACUUGUUUCAGGAAGACUCUCUGUUAUUUGUGUUGUGUUAAUCCACAUCAAAAUAAAAUAGCCUUGGAUAGGUAACUUUGUGACUUAGACUGACAUAGAUGAUGAUUAAGAGUGUCUAAAAACCUCAUUUAUGGCUCGAUUUUAAAGAGCUAAUUGAAUCACUAUACAUUUAAAUAUAGUCCUUUGAAGAUUUUUGGCAAUCACUUCUAGAAAAAAAUAACUGGUUGCAUUUUUUAAAAUUACCUGAAAAAUAAUAGCAAAAUUCAAUAAUGGACUGAAAAAAUAAUCAAUUACUUGAAAGCUACCUGUUUUUUUCCAAAUUACAAUUAUAUACUAAGAUCCUGAGUUUGGGGGAUCAUUUUAAGUAAAAUUUCUACCAACCUCCCUUUAUUUGAGAACAUUUCUAAACUAAAAACAAUUAAGUUUUGAGAUCCAUUUAAUUUUUACUUCUUUUAAGUACCAGCAUAAACAUCUGCCAUCUGGCAUAGAAAUUAACUCAUAUGGUGGGAGGAGAGAUGAGAUUUAUUUAAAAGUUCUUUGUCUUUGAUACUUUUCCCUACUGCAUUUUCCACUAGUAUAAUUUGAACCUGACUGUAUUUAAAUAACCAUUUAUCGCCAUAAUGGAAGAGCAGACUUAAAAAUACAUAACUGCUGUCAUUCCAGGAGACCGUAUUAAGGAAACAUAGAAUUUGCCAUUCUAGAUCAGACCAUUUGUCUGUCUUGUCUAACACUUGCCUCUGGCGGUGGCCAAUAUUGAAGACAAUGGAGAACAGCAGUAUUAUGCAACGUGAGCACAAGCCAUUUUUUAGGGGAAUAAUUAUUUUCUCAGUUGGUAAUCUUAGACUAUGGAAUAUUAGAAUUGAAACACCCCCAUCUGUUUACAUUAUUAAUAUUUUUAUCAAUCAAUAAACUAACCAGUUCUGUUAAAA